GCUUACGGUCUCCGUCCCCGAUUAUGGCUCCUGGUCUCUCAUAGUGUUGCCCAAACUACAAAAUGAAAGCUAACCGCAAGCAAAUCGGGCAAACCUUCGUGGAACUAACCCCAAGCAAACCGGAAUGGAAAACUAACCUCCAACUUAUUAAUAUCCCAAAAACUACGGUCUUUCGGACAACAAAAACAAGACGUAAGCAGGCGCGUUUUAUUUCAGUCCCAGACCAUUUUCGGCUUGGUUGACGCUUUGUCCUUAGUCGCAUUCUCAAGACGAACCGUGAGAUGAAGGGUGAUCAUUGUCGGCUGUUCGUACACCCUGGUAUACCGCACACAAAAGUAGGCCCCGGUUGCUCAAAAGAUAGAUGACCAUAGAUAAGUGUCAGCCACUAUCCACUGGAUAGUGAGUUAUCCGAUGGACAGCGUUAUCCACCUUUCGAACAACCCUAGUCUGCGUAGCAGCCGUUUCCUUUCCUUUUCCAGACGGAGAGAUCGAGCAAGCGGAUGAGCGAAGGAGCGGGCCUGGGGUGAUCUCUCCUCACCUCCUCCCCCUUAUUUUUCGCACUCACUUGCAGUUUCGUUUCCUUCCUGUGCUUUUUUGGAAACGCCUGGAAACGCCUGGCUACGCAGGCUAGAACAACCCGGGCCACAGACCAGCCACAGAAAUUACGACAUGCCACCUGCCCGGCCCACUCGCCCGCGCGUGAAAGGCCGCGUAAGGACUGGACAGAACAGAGUAGAGGAGGGUACUGAGGCCAUGUUUUCCACAAUUCAAAUGGUUCAGCAAGUAAAGCUGUGUAGUAACAUACACGAUAAGAUUUGAGGAUUCUGUUCCAUUUCUUUGAGGAGUUGAGGCUGAAGAGGAAAUGACAGAGUUUAAUUAAAGUUGUAGCUCCAAUUGAGAGAAUAAAUAUCAAACACUAAAGAAACAGUUUGACCUCAUUCCCAAACACCUUGAGAACUUCAUUUUGUUGGUGUAUGAUCAAAACAUUUUUGGAUCUUCUUUGGAAGUCUUCGGUUAUCUUCCGAACUCUUCAGAUAUCUUCGGACAAAUUUUGGCGAAUCUUUGGAAAUCUUCAGAAAGUGGUUGGAAAUCUUCGGAAAAUCGCCAUAUAAUGUGUUUUGCAAACUAUGGUGGAGAAGCAGUAUUUUAUGAAUUUGAUGGAAAAGCUUUGUUGAAUAACCAAGUGAAUGUACAAGAGCAUUGUACAUAACAGAUUAAAAGUUAUACACAGUGCAUUUUUGAUGACUACCGGUAUGGAUGGCUUAGGCUCCCAAAAUUUCAGAAAUUAACAUUAAUUUAAAGUGAUUAAAUUUCUUAGUUUGUCAGCUGUCAGUUGGAGUUUAAGACCCAGUUUACGGGCACGAAGGGUAACCCUAGUGAAAGGACUAACAGUUGACUUAAAUUACUAUUUUUUUGCAAUUAAAAAAUUAACUGAAAAUGUUUGUAUCGCCCACAGGAUUUUCACAGUUUUGGUAUCUCUAUGAAGCAUAGAUACCCGUUCAAAUCUUUUAAGGAUUCCAAUUUUUUCUGCCCCUGAAAUCCGUGCUUAAAGAUCCUUCUUGAAUCAAGCCACACCCAUUCAAGUUGACUCAGUGCUUGGAGGUCGGUGCCUAGUGAUGUCACUACGGGAAACGCACAAGAAGUAGACGCUCACUUCAAAAUAUAAAUUGGAAGUAUAAGCUGUUGUGGUUCAUGUUCUCCAAAAUUUUUAGAUACUAGAUAUUCCACAAUGUUCUCAAUUUGCAGAAGAUGGCGAGAAAAAUGUAUAAACAAACAUUAUUAUUGGUGUCCAGAUCUGGAUAACUUAAAGGUCUCAAAUGUUUCCAGGAUACAAAUUUUUCAAGGAGCUUCAGGAUGAAAUUUUUUUGUGGCAAGAUUUGUCUUCGCAACCACAGUAGAACCAGCGCUUUCUGUUUUCAUAGACACUCAGUCAUCUUGGAUGGGUGUGGCGCAAAUGGGGAAUUCAAAGCUUGAUUUCAGGGGGUAAGGAGUAUGAAUUGAAUUUUUCAAUGAGACUAUGUUCUAUAGAGAUACCAAAACCAUAAAAAACCCUGUAGGCAACACACACUCACAUGUAAGUCCCACAAAAACAUGAUUUACCAUAGGGUAGCUUGAAGUGCUACUGAAACGAAAUUUUCGUACUCUCUUUUAUGAGCCCAAUCUAUAGUUUCAAACGUGCUUAAAAUAAUGGUGAACUUUAUUUCUGUCAAAUGCUAAAAAAUCGACUUUUUGGAGCAAAACUGUGUCCGGGCUCUGGAACUGAGUUUAAGGACCUUGUGACAUCACUGGUUGUAUUCACGUAGGAAGCGCUAUAGAUUCUCUUGUUUUCACUAGAUUUAUUCAAGUUUAUUCGUCAUAUUGUUGAUACCUACUAGUUUUCUACCUUGUAAUUUUGGUCCAGCCUUGACAGGAAAUACACAUCAUAAAUGUUGGAGGGGGCCAAAGAGUGAAGAUUCACCAAAAUGAAUGCUACAGAUUUGAACAGCUCUGAGUAUACUUUUCAAACAUCUUGAGUACUUGAUUGGAGACUUCGAAGAAGAGUGUGGCAACUUUUAUAUCACGUCCUGAAGCCUAAACACAAUAUAUCAUGGUCUGUUUUCAGCCUGGUUCUGAAAUUUGAAUUCUCACAUUUAUCUAAGGUCUAUUAACAAGGUUCGAAUAUAUCCUCGGCAACUUUACUGCAUUAAAAGCGGUAAGCGCAUCAGCCGUCCGCAC